UGGGGAAUAUUGGACAAUGGGCGCAAGCCUGAUCCAGCCAUGCCGCGUGUGUGAAGAAGGCCUUUUGGUUGUAAAGCACUUUAAGCGAGGAGGAGGCUACUUGGAUUAAUACUCUAGGAUAGUGGACGUUACUCGCAGAAUAAGCACCGGCUAACUCUGUGCCAGCAGCCGCGGUAAUACAGAGGGUGCGAGCGUUAAUCGGAUUUACUGGGCGUAAAGCGUGCGUAGGCGGCUUCUUAAGUCGGAUGUGAAAUCCCUGAGCUUAACUUAGGAAUUGCAUUCGAUACUGGGACGCUAGAGUAUGGGAGAGGAUGGUAGAAUUCCAGGUGUAGCGGUGAAAUGCGUAGAGAUCUGGAGGAAUACCGAUGGCGAAGGCAGCCAUCUGGCCUAAUACUGACGCUGAGGUACGAAAGCAUGGGGAGCAAACAGG
rnacentral:rRNA from 1 species